rnacentral:rRNA from 1 species
GGUUAAGCGACUAAGCGUACACGGUGGAUGCCCUGGCAGUCAGAGGCGAUGAAGGACGUGCUAAUCUGCGAAAAGCGUCGGUAAGGUGAUAUGAACCGUUAUAACCGGCGAUGUCCGAAUGGGGAAACCCAGUGCAAUUCGUUGCACUAUCGUUAACUGAAUACAUAGGUUAACGAGGCGAACCGGGGGAACUGAAACAUCUAAGUACCCCGAGGAAAAGAAAUCAACCGAGAUUCCCCCAGUAGCGGCGAGCGAACGGGGAGCAGCCCAGAGUCUGAAUCAGCUUGUGUGUUAGUGGAACGGUCUGGAAAGUCCGACGGUACAGGGUGAUAGUCCCGUACACCAAAAUGCACAGGUUGUGAACUCGAAGAGUAGGGCGGGACACGUGGUAUCCUGUCUGAAUAUGGGGGGACCAUCCUCCAAGGCUAAAUACUCCUGACUGACCGAUAGUGAACCAGUACCGUGAGGGAAAGGCGAAAAGAACCCCGGCGAGGGGAGUGAAAAAGAACCUGAAACCGUGUACGUACAAGCAGUGGGAGCACCUUCGGGUGUGACUGCGUACCUUUUGUAUAAUGGGUCAGCGACUUAUAUUCUGUAGCAAGGUUAACCGUAUAGGGGAGCCGCAGGGAAACCGAGUCUUAACUGGGCGUUAAGUUGCAGGGUAUAGACCCGAAACCCGGUGAUCUAGCCAUGGGCAGGUUGAAGGUUGGGUAACACUAACUGGAGGACCGAACCGACUAAUGUUGAAAAAUUAGCGGAUGACUUGUGGCUGGGGGUGAAAGGCCAAUCAAACCGGGAGAUAGCUGGUUCUCCCCGAAAGCUAUUUAGGUAGCGCCUCGUGAAUUCAUCUUCGGGGGUAGAGCACUGUUUCGGCUAGGGGGUCAUCCCGACUUACCAACCCGAUGCAAACUACGAAUACCGAAGAAUGUUAUCACGGGAGACACACGGCGGGUGCUAACGUCCGUCGUGAAGAGGGAAACAACCCAGACCGCCAGCUAAGGUCCCAAAGUCAUGGUUAAGUGGGAAACGAUGUGGGAAGGCACAGACAGCCAGGAUGUUGGCUUAGAAGCAGCCAUCAUUUAAAGAAAGCGUAAUAGCUCACUGGUCGAGUCGGCCUGCGCGGAAGAUGUAACGGGGCUAAACCAUGCACCGAAGCUGCGGCAGCGACACUAUGUGUUGUUGGGUAGGGGAGCGUUCUGUAAGCCUGCGAAGGUGACCUGUGAGGGUUGCUGGAGGUAUCAGAAGUGCGAAUGCUGACAUAAGUAACGAUAAAGCGGGUGAAAAGCCCGCUCGCCGGAAGACCAAGGGUUCCUGUCCAACGUUAAUCGGGGCAGGGUGAGUCGACCCCUAAGGCGAGGCCGAAAGGCGUAGUCGAUGGGAAACAGGUUAAUAUUCCUGUACUUGGUGUUACUGCGAAGGGGGGACGGAGAAGGCUAUGUUAGCCGGGCGACGGUUGUCCCGGUUUAAGCAUGUAGGCUGGUUGUCCAGGCAAAUCCGGAUAAUCAAGGCUGAGGUGUGAUGACGAGGCACUACGGUGCUGAAGUAACAAAUGCCCUGCUUCCAGGAAAAGCCUCUAAGCAUCAGGUAACAUCAAAUCGUACCCCAAACCGACACAGGUGGUCAGGUAGAGAAUACCAAGGCGCUUGAGAGAACUCGGGUGAAGGAACUAGGCAAAAUGGUGCCGUAACUUCGGGAGAAGGCACGCUGGUGUGUAGGUGAAGCCCCUGCGGGUGGAGCUGAGACCAGUCGAAGAUACCAGCUGGCUGCAACUGUUUAUUAAAAACACAGCACUGUGCAAACACGAAAGUGGACGUAUACGGUGUGACGCCUGCCCGGUGCCGGAAGGUUAAUUGAUGGGGUUAUCCGUAAGGAGAAGCUCUUGAUCGAAGCCCCGGUAAACGGCGGCCGUAACUAUAACGGUCCUAAGGUAGCGAAAUUCCUUGUCGGGUAAGUUCCGACCUGCACGAAUGGCGUAAUGAUGGCCAGGCUGUCUCCACCCGAGACUCAGUGAAAUUGAACUCGCUGUGAAGAUGCAGUGUACCCGCGGCAAGACGGAAAGACCCCGUGAACCUUUACUAUAGCUUGACACUGAACAUUGAGCCUUGAUGUGUAGGAUAGGUGGGAGGCUUUGAAGCGUGGACGCCAGUCUGCGUGGAGCCAACCUUGAAAUACCACCCUUUAAUGUUUGAUGUUCUAACGUUGGCCCCUGACCGGGGUUGCGGACAGUGUCUGGUGGGUAGUUUGACUGGGGCGGUCUCCUCCCAAAGCGUAACGGAGGAGCACGAAGGUUAGCUAAUCCUGGUCGGACAUCAGGAGGUUAGUGCAAUGGCAUAAGCUAGCUUGACUGCGAGCGUGACGGCGCGAGCAGGUGCGAAAGCAGGUCAUAGUGAUCCGGUGGUUCUGAAUGGAAGGGCCAUCGCUCAACGGAUAAAAGGUACUCCGGGGAUAACAGGCUGAUACCGCCCAAGAGUUCAUAUCGACGGCGGUGUUUGGCACCUCGAUGUCGGCUCAUCACAUCCUGGGGCUGAAGUAGGUCCCAAGGGUAUGGCUGUUCGCCAUUUAAAGUGGUACGCGAGCUGGGUUUAGAACGUCGUGAGACAGUUCGGUCCCUAUCUGCCGUGGGCGCUGGAGAAUUGAGGGGGGCUGCUCCUAGUACGAGAGGACCGGAGUGGACGCAUCACUGGUGUUCGGGUUGUCAUGCCAAUGGCACUGCCCGGUAGCUAAAUGCGGAAGAGAUAAGUGCUGAAAGCAUCUAAGCACGAAACUUGCCCCGAGAUGAGUUCUCCCUGAGACUUUAAGUCUCCUGAAGGAACGUUGAAGACGACGACGUUGAUAGGCCGGGUGUGUAAGCGCAGCGAUGCGUUGAGCUAACCGGUACUAAUGAACCGUGAGGCUUAACCUU